rnacentral:piRNA from 1 species
UGGCACGUUAGUAACCACCAGCUAUGA